AUACGUAGGGUGCGAGCGUUGUCCGGAAUUACUGGGCGUAAAGAGCUCGUAGGUGGUUUGUCGCGUCGUCUGUGAAAUUCCGGGGCUUAACUCCGGGCGUGCAGGCGAUACGGGCAUAACUUGAGUACUGUAGGGGAGACUGGAAUUCCUGGUGUAGCGGUGAAAUGCGCAGAUAUCAGGAAGAACACCGGUGGCGAAGGGGGGUCUCUGGGCAGUAACUGACGCUGAGGAGCGAAAGCAUGGGUAGCGAACAGGAUUAGAUCCCCUGGUAGUCCAUGCCGUAAACGGUGGGCGCUAGGUGUAGGGGUCUUCCACGACUUCUGUGCCGUAGCUAACGCAUUAAGCGCCCCGCCUGGGGAGUACGGCCGCAAGGCUAAAACUCAAAGGAAUUGACGGGG
rnacentral:rRNA from 1 species